GACGAACGCUGGCGGCGUGCCUAAUACAUGCAAGUCGAGCGAAGCGGCGGAUGGGUGAGUAACGCGUGGGUAACCUGCCCUUAAGUCUGGGAUACCAUUUGGAAACAGAUGCUAAUACCGGAUACUAAAGGAUGGACCUGCGAUGCAUUAGCUAGUUGGUUAGGUAACGGCUUACCAAGGCGAUGAUGCGUAGCCUAGUGGAUCGUCUGAGCGGCCACAUUGGGACUGAGACACGGCCCAAACUCCUCUGGGAGGCAGCAGUGGGGAAUCUUACACAAUGGACGAAAGUCUGGUGGAGCCACGCCGCGUUAGUGAAGAAGGUUUUCGGAUCGUAAAGCUCUGUUGUUGGUGAAGCGGUAAUCAAUCAGAAAGUCACGGCUAACUACGUGCCAGCAGCCGCGGUAAUUC
rnacentral:rRNA from 1 species